AGAUUGAACGCUGGCGGCAUGCUUGACACAUGCAAGUCGAACGGUAACAGAUUUUCUUCGGAAAAUGCUGACGAGUGGCGAACGGGUGAGUAAUACAUAGGAAUCUACCUAAAAGAGGGGGAUAGUUUUUGGAAACACUAAGUAAUACCCCAUAUUUCCUAGCAGAGAAAGCAGGGGACUUUUAAGCCUUGCGCUUUUAGAUGAGCCUAUGCCAGAUUAGCUAGUUGGUGAGGUAAUUGCUCACCAAGGCAACGAUCUGUAGUUGGUUUGAGAGAAUGAUCAACCACACUGGGAUUGAGAUACGGCCCAGACUCCUACGGGAGGCAGCAGUGUGGAAUAUUGGACAAUGGGCGAAAGCCUGAUCCAGCAAUGCCGCGUGUGUGAAGAAGGCCUUAGGGUUGUAAAACACUUUCAGCAAUGAAGAAGUGC
rnacentral:rRNA from 1 species